ensembl:lncRNA
GGUUGGUAGUGGAGGCAAGGGUGUCCCUCUGGGUAUUCCUGUGUAUGUGAGGCCUUCUAAAGAGGUGCUGAACACCACUUGGACUUGAAAAAUAGCCUGAAUUUCUACCAUCUUCAGUUACAGAAGAAAAUACUCAGCGCCAGAAUCUACCCCAGCACACAAAAGACAUCUCAAGAAGUACUGGUUGAGCACAAGGCUUACUACACAAGGAAGUUGAAUUGAUUCAACAGAAGUCCAGAGCUCCACUCCCGUUCCCCUCUGCAGUAGUCUGCUGUUGUUAUGAUUCCCAUCUUAACCUGGCCAUUGUGAGAUCAGUCUCUGAACUCUUAAUGUGUGCCAUAUCACUGAGCUCGUUUAGAAGAAAUUCAUCUCUGGUUACCAGCAGUAUCUUCCAAGGGAACAGCAUGGAGCUGCAUCAGAGGAGGAUCAGGUUGGGAAUUAGGAAAAAGUUCUUUACCAGAGGGUGGUUGGACCCUGGAACCAGGCUCUCCAGAGCAGUGGUCAAGCUGCUGGAGUUCAUGAAAUGUUUGGACAGUGCUCUCAGACAUAGAAUUUGAAGUUUGACUGGUCGUGUAUGGGACCAGGUGCUGAAAACAAUGAUUCUCUUGGGUCCCUUCCAACUGAGAAUAAUCUAUGAUUCUGUGAUUCCAUUCUGUACAGUCACUUUAUUUAUUAUAUCCAUUUUUAUGCCCUGUAAAUGAUUGCCAGACCACAGGAAAAAAAAAAGUAACAAAUCUGGAUAUGUCUAGAUAAUUUAAAACAAAAAAUCAGUCAUGAUGUGAUACAUUAUUCAUAUUGAUGUGAGUUUUACCUUGUAACUGAUAAGAGGACUUCAAGAAGAUUAUCCAGAGGAUGCAAAUUAAAUCACUUAUGUUAACUGAUG